AACGCACAUUGCGCCCCUUGGUAUUCCGAGGGGCAUGCCUGUUCGAGCGUCAUUUCAACCCUCAAGCUCUGCUUGGUCUUGGGCCUGGCCGUGAUGGCCGGUCUUAAAAUCAGUGGCGGUGCCGUCGCAGGCUCCAAGCGUAGUACAUCUCUCGCUCUGGAAACUUGGCGGUGCCUGCCAGACAACCCCUAAUUGUCUCUUUCGGUUGACCUCGGAUCAGGUAGGGAUACCCGCUGAACUUAA
rnacentral:misc_RNA from 1 species